GUGGAGGGGAGCUGUGUUUGACGUCGCAGGAGACAAGGAAUGGUCUGUGGUAGCUGUUAAAAUGUUGAAGGAACACUCGUCCAGUUCAGACCUCAAGGAUCUCUUGUCUGAGCUAAAUUUGCUGAAGAAACUUAAACCUCAUCCAAACGUGAUUCAAUUGUUGGGCUGUUUAACAAAGGAUGUCAUUCGAUGUAAAGGAGGGCGCGAGUUUAGGCCGCCUCUUGUCAUCCUGGAGUAUGUUCCUCACGGAGAUCUCCUGGGAUAUUUAAAGAAAAGCAAAGGAGAAACAGACAACUAUUAUAACUUGAGAAGCGCAGCAGCUUCACAGAAAAUACCGACACAACAACUAUACAAAUUCGCGUCUGAUAUCGCUCGAGGAAUGGAAUUCAUCUCGGAUCACCAGCUCAUUCACCGAGAUCUGGCUGCAAGGAACGUGUUAGUUGGCGAAGGCCUUCGCUUUAAAAUUACAGAUUUUGGAAUGGCGAGAGAUCUGGGGAGAAAUGAAAUGUAUGUCAAGAGGCCCAACGGACUGAUGCCUGUAAAGUGGAUGGCAGUUGAGUCAUUAACAAGACAAGUUUAUUCAACAGAAAGUGAUAUGUAGAAAUCCUUACGAAGGAAUGACUGGGGAAGACGUUUUUAACUUCGUCGCAAGUGGUCAGAGGAUGUGCAGGACUUCAGCCAUGAGCUCAGAAUUGUAUAAUUUUAUGCUACAGUGUUGGCACCAGAAACCAUCCAAGAGACCAACAUUCAGCGAGAUCGCGUCUUGGAAAGAAACUCUUGCUCAAGAUCACUGAGAGCUUCUUUACAGCACGCAUUAAGUUAGCCUUAAUUAAAACUGAAGCGUGUGUAAUUUGUCAGCGACAUAAAUACAAGCAAAAGAGAGUGGUUUGUAAGACGUAUCACAUAGAAUUUUAUGAAAGAAUAAAAACGCCGUUUACCGUUUGCAAAUAUCUGCAUUAGUUCUGGAGCCAUUUAAGUGUGAGGCAACAUGAGGCGCCAUUUGCAAAUCAGAUCAAAAUGGAACGCCAAAGGUGGCCAGAAAUGCCUUUAAUAUUGGGGGGGUCUAGAACCCAGCAUGUUGCCAUGGUAACAAAACUGUUAAGCUCGUAUUUUGGAGCACAUUUUGUAGAAUCUUACCGCAAAGAACAAAACAUUUCUGAUUGAAAUUGGCUGGGAUAUCUUUUCUCAUCAUAUUUGAUCAAAAUUUGUUGAACUUGGCUAAUUUGGACAUUU